GCCCGGGUGGUGAAAUGGUAGACACGAAGGACUUAAAAUCCUUUAGACAGCAAUGUCUGUGCGGGUUCAAGUCCCGCCCCGGGUACCA
rnacentral:tRNA from 1 species